CAGAGCUUAGGUGAUCAGGGGGAACAAACCCUCCAACAGGCUCAAUCUCCCAUGAGCUUAGAUGACCCAAACUCUCCGACCAGCCAACAGGGAAGCCCCAGCCAGGCAUUCUUCCCAGAGCUGAGCUUCCUUUCGGAUGAGGUGACAUCUGAGCAAAGCCCAGCUAAAGAGUCAUGGUCACCCAAGCUCACCAGCGCCCCAGCAAAAAUGGUGACAAUCCCACUUGCAGGAUUUGCAGAUGUUACGCAAGAUGGCGAGUCAGAUUGAUGACUUGUGGAAACACAAGUUCGUCACUGACUCAUCAUCUAUGCCUUCGUCUGCUGUCCCUGCACAUCCCCCGUCACCAUCGACCAUCACCAGACCAUCUGCUGCCCUGGCCUCCUCUGCUUCUCCUGACCUUCAUCCCCUGCAAUGAAAAUCGAAUCCCUCUUUUCGGAAAUAAUCAUGGACCUAAAGAAUGGUUCCUCAUCUGAGGCAAAUUUUGCACUUUUUUUGGUCUGUGUAUUAUUUUCCAAGAGGGAGAUGAAGAUGAGUAAUUGUAAGGGGGUGCGGGGAAGGAGAAGCUUGGUAUCAUCCGCCUCAAUGCCAUCAAGGCCAUUGUCAGGGAGAAGACUGCUCUUGGCCUGGGCCAGUUUGAAAUGUACUGGCGCCGGGAAUGCGUCAAGGCUAUCGACGAGGGUUGCAGAUGCCUCAAUCGUUGUUAAACAGUUCGUGUAAUGUUUAUGGUUUCAUAAUUUAUAACUAGGCUGUACAAUGCCCACAACUUGGUGUAAUCUUUUUUUCCUAAUCUACUGUAAUAUUCAACUGAACGAAACAUAAAGAGCAAAAAGAUCACAGUAUUGUGCAAAUAAAAGUUCAUUGACUGAAUGAAAGAAAAGGUUCACGUGUAUCAUUUAAGAAAGUGAGUUUUAAAAUUCUGUGAAAUUUAUUUGAUGUUCAUCAAACACAGUGACCUCUUUGCUUAUUACUACUUCCAGCUCUAAUCUGAUAGAUCUAAUGAAUAUCUGUACCCCAACUUUGGUAACGAGGUAGAAGGGUGCCAUCUGAAAAAUGGCUGCGUGCACAUUUCGGAAAUAUUUUUCGGGGAGGGGUGAUUUUGUUUUUUGCUAAUUUGCUAACCAACAGAAAAUAGGAAAGAAAGAGAAAAAUUAAGGACUGAAGACAAAUUUUGUUUGAGAAACCUCAGGGAUUUCGGCUUGCCCAUUGAGCCCUGAACAAAGCUGAUUUUAUCAGACGAAUGGGUUGUCGAUCGACGUGGAAAACAUGGCUACGCCGAGACAGGAACAAAAAGUGAAAUUUGCGAGUAGUGA